GUGAGCCAGGAUGAUCCCGCAUCUUGCCUUGAACCCCCGGAAUUGUGAGUUACAGGAGCCUCUCUUACCAUUAUCAAGCAUUUUUGUUAGAACUGGUGACUAAUGUGGUGACCAACUGACUGCAGGAGGAGAGGGACAGAAAGCUGUAGAGGACAUAUCCCCAGAUUCCUGGUCUGGGGGGUUGGGUAGGUAGAGGAGCCAUUUCCUAAUGUGGAGACACAAUGGGUCAGGCAUGACCAUGUGGACACUAGUGGCUGCACCUUAUCAAGGACAUUACCGGACUCCAUGCAGGAUUCCUGUUCUUGGUAAAUACCUGAUAACUCAAGGCUCCAGAAUUCUCCUCCUUCUUCUCCAAGGCACGCAGCCCAGCUCUCUUUGGCUUCUGGGAAGCUUGCCAGGUGGAUAGACCACUAGAAGAACUGCCUACGUGAAGGACAGCAGCGCCUCCAGGGCCUUGCUCACAGCCAGCGGUGGGCAGUGUGAAUCCUCUGCAAACUUUCCUUGGUGGAACAAGAGUGACUUCUGAAGCCCAGGGAACUCUGGAGUGUUGCAUAGGAAGGCAGCUCGUGAGAACUCCAGGUUCCUCCCCGAAGGGAGGAAUUGUGUUUCUGUCUGCAUUAGCUGCUUCUGUCCUACUAAGAUGCCUGUGCUGAGUUCCUCCUCAAGUCCUGUCUUAAGUCCCCAGUGUGUUUUCUCCCCUGGUGUUGCUGUGACCUGGCUGUGGAGAGAAAGCCCCUGCUGAGAAGCUAUACAGCCAUGUGUUUCUGCUGCUCAGUACCAGUGUGAUUGCCCAGAUGCGGAGAGGACCCCAGGAGCUCCAUACCCCUGCUGGGUGCUGAGGAUCAUGUGCCUCCAUGGACCUGAAUCCUGACAUGCUCACGCUGCAUGUCAACACCAUAUUUCUACUCUGAAGAAUAUCAAGCAAGAUCAAAAAAAUCACAUUCAUUUCCAAGAAAGAUGCACACUUAACCUCUGGCUGUAGCCAGAACCAAUUAAGGGAAAAAGAAAAGUGGGGCAAGAUUUUUCCAAAAUCUGGGGCAGCUUUGCAACAUCAUCACCCCUAGCCAACCUUGGUCAGUUCUGCUGGAAUCCCCAGGGGCGGUGAUAGCAGAGCAUUUGAAAGCUCCCAGCCCCAUCCUGAUCCUCUCAGCAGAACUUUGGCCUCCAAGCUCGGGGUGUGGUUUCAGUAUCAGGUGCCCAGAGAGGGACUAUCGACUGCUUUGUAACAUAUAUUCCCUGAAAUGGCACUGACCUUGACUCCCAUGUUGCCUUGAUAUCAGAUCCAGUGAAACCAGGCACCACUACUGACAAGUCUCCUUUAAUCUCUGCUGCUCUUCAGGUCUCACUGACCCAAGGUGUGGCUUGCUGUGGAGGCUCAUCUGCAUUAGAAGGAUUCAAUUCCUCUUCAAACUGUAUUCCAUGAGAUCAUUUUCCAUGUGUGCGUGUCUGCCCUUGCACUUCAAAUUUUUGUCUUUAAGCAGUUUAAAUAUUUGUGUUUUUUUAAGGCAUGAGAGAGGAUAUUACUAUGUUUAAUUAGUAAUGUCAACUCAUUGUGUGUUAUAAGGGUAUUCUGAAAAACUAUGCUACUAACUCUUCUGAUAGGGAAUUAAUAUCCAGAAUAUGUAAAGAACUCACAAAACUUAACACCCAAAAAAGAAAG